AGAGCUUACAAUUGAUCUGACAGUUACACUGAGCUUCACUCCAGGGUUCUCUCUAGAUGUUCAUCCUCCUCUUCAGCUCUGCAAGGAUACAUAGAGAAUGCUCAGAAGCACAGCCCCCUGCAUGGCUAAAUCAGUGCCUGACCAGCGGCUACAUUAGUGGGCUCUACAUGUAACGGGGUUCUCUCUAGAUGUUCAUCCUCCUCUUCAGCUCUGCAAGGAUACAUAGAGAAUGCUCAGAAGCACAGCCCCCUGCAUGGCUAAAUCAGUGCCUGACCAGCGGCUACAUUAGUGGGCUCUACAUGUAACGGGGUUCUCUCUAGAUGUUCAUCCUCCUCUUCAGCUCUGCAAGGAUACAUAGAGAAUGCUCAGAAGCACAGCCCCCUGCAUGGCUAAAUCAGUGCCUGACCAGCGGCUACAUUAGUGGGCUCUACAUGUAACGGGGUUCUCUCUAGAUGUUCAUCCUCCUCUUCAGCUCUGCAAGGAUACAUAGAGAAUGCUCAGAAGCACAGCCCCCUGCAUGGCUAAAUCAGUGCCUGACCAGCGGCUACAUUAGUGGGCUCUACAUGUAACGGGGUUAGACAGAGACUUGCCCCCUAACAAUGAGGCUGCUAAUCCCC